UCCACUACUUAAUUUCUUACCUUUUUUUCUUCAAAUUCUCAAGUGACGAUACGGAGAAUUCCAACGAAUCACUACAAACAAAUAAAUAUGGAGCUUCUCGUGGAAGGGUAAAGAAAUGCUUGAUUGCAGUGGAAGAUUUUAUAUGUGAUUUCACGGGUGAUGACAGUAUUAGGACGACGUUUUUACGGGAGGGAAAGAAAAAGCUAGUCAAAAAGACGAAAAAGUUGCUGAAUGACCCACUAUUUAUGCUGCAAAAGUUGAGCAAUUUGAUAGAGCCAAGUAUUAUAGAAAAUACAAGGCUUAGAAGUGCAUUCGAAGAGGUUAAAUCCACUCUGCAGCAGUCAAAGAAUCCAGUACCAACUCAAGACUCUAUUGAUAAGAUUACUUGCCAGAUUUUGAAUUGGCUUUGAAGCAGUCAAAGAAUCCAGUACCAACUCAAGACUCUACUGAUAAUAUUGCAUUGCAAGAGUUUGAAUUGGCUCUGAAGCAGUCAAAGAAUCCAAUUCCAACUCAAUAUUCUACUGAUAUCAUUAAUGAGUUAGGUUGCCAAAAUAAGUCUGCAAACAAGUUUUCCAUCGGAGUAUACCCGCCUGGUUUUACUUCAGACUGAUAGUGGGAAGAAAGUACCGGAUUCGACUGUAGUAAGUGAGGCCGAAAAUGAAUAUGUUCGUGUUCACUUAGUUUCUGUAAGUCUAAGCAUGUAUUUAACAAAAUAAAGCUGCCAAGCAAGGGAGAUCCGACUGGUCAGAAGAUGAUUUUACUGGGAUGCAUGGGUGUUGGCUUUGGUAACUUGACUGCUACGGCUAAGAAUAUCCCUCCGGGUGUUUUGGAACCCAAGUCACCCGAAGGAGCAUAUAUUUUGGUUAAGGUUGCUUCCAAGUUCCAACUACUGUAGCAUCCUGCUUGAUCGAUGCUGUUGCAUGUGCUUAUCCAAGCUUGUUCGUAUAUGAAUAACCAAUGCACGAUCGUUUUGUCACAAAUCUGCACCGCUCUUGCUUGCUUUGAGUAUGUCAAUUGCUGUUAUGAACUCUGUGAUGGUUUCUAGUGUUCUGAUGAAAGGUCAUUGAAUUCUUGAAGACGAAAAGACAUGGAUAUGAAUAUUACUAUUGUAGUUAUUGUAUGUAUACGCUAUUGAUAAUGAUAAUGCUAAGAGCAAUAUGCCUAUUAUUAAGUUACUAAUGCAAUGAAUACAUAUAUUAUUCCAAUGCCAUCUAAGAUAAAGGGAAAUGUUAUAGAGUUAUGCAAGUAUCUUAGGGCAG